rnacentral:rRNA from 1 species
GACGUAGGGGGCGAGCGUUGUCCGGAUUCAUUGGGCGUAAAGCGCGCGUAGGCGGCUGCGCAAGUCGGUUGUGAAAUUCCGGGGCUCAACCCCGGGCCUGCAUUCGAUACGGGCAGACUAGAGUUCGGUAGGGGAGUCUGGAAUUCCUGGUGUAGCGGUGAAAUGCGCAGAUAUCAGGAGGAACACCGGUGGCGAAGGCGGGACUCUGGGCCGAUACUGACGCUGAGGAGCGAAAGCGUGGGGAGCAAACAGG